rnacentral:rRNA from 1 species
UGGGGAAUUUUGGACAAUGGGCGAAAGCCUGAUCCAGCAAUGCCGCGUGUGUGAAGAAGGCCUUCGGGUUGUAAAGCACUUUUGUCCGGAAAGAAAUCCUUGGCUCUAAUACAGUCGGGGGAUGACGGUACCGGAAGAAUAAGCACCGGCUAACUACGUGCCAGCAGCCGCGGUAAUACGUAGGGUGCAAGCGUUAAUCGGAAUUACUGGGCGUAAAGCGUGCGCAGGCGGUUUGCUAAGACCGAUGUGAAAUCCCCGGGCUCAACCUGGGAACUGCAUUGGUGACUGGCAGGCUAGAGUAUGGCAGAGGGGGGUAGAAUUCCACGUGUAGCAGUGAAAUGCGUAGAGAUGUGGAGGAAUACCGAUGGCGAAGGCAGCCCCCCUGGGCCAAUACUGACGCUCAUGCACGAAAGCGUGGGGAGCAAACAGGAUUAGAUACCCUGGUAGUCCACGCCCUAAACGAUGUCAACUAGUUGUUGGAGAUUCAUUUUCCUUAGUAACGUAGCUAACGCGUGAAGUUGACCGCCUGGGGAGUACGGUCGCAAGAUUAAAACUCAAAGGAAUUGACGGGGUCAUAGCUGUUU